rnacentral:rRNA from 1 species
AGUUCGAUCCUGGCUCAGAUUGAACGCUUGGCGGGAUGCUUUACACAUGCAAGUCGAACGGCAGCACGGACUUCGGUCUGCGGCGAGUGGCGAACGGGUGAGUAAUGUAUCGGAACGUGCCUAGUAGCGGGGGAUAACUACGCGAAAGCGUAGCUAAUACCGCAUACGGCCCUUCGGGGGAAAGCGGGGGACCUUCGGGCCCUGCACUAUUAGAGCGGCCGAUAUCGGAUUAGCUAGUUGGUGGGGUAACGGCUCACCAAGGCGACGAUCCGUAGCUGGUUUGAGAGGACGACCAGCCACACUGGGACUGAGACACGGCCCAGACUCCUACGGGAGGCAGCAGUGGGGAAUUUUGGACAAUGGGGGAAACCCUGAUCCAGCCAUCCCGCGUGUGCGAUGAAGGCUCGGGUUGUAAAGCACUUUUGGCAGGAAAGAAACGGCAUCGGAUAAUACCCCGUGCAACUGACGGUACCUGCAGAAUAAGCACCACAAAUUUGCCGCCAGCAGCCGCGGUAAUACGUAGGGUGCAAGCGUUAAUCGGAAUUACUGGGCGUAAAGCGUGCGCAGGCGGUUCUGAAACAAAGCAAGAUGCAAAUCCGGUAUAGUCAGACCUUGGAACCCGCGCAUUUUUAUUAGGGUCACCGAUUGACGCGCCAUAGCGGUGGAAUCUUUUCGCACAGAAGGCAGGUGUCAUAAGAUAUGGGUGAGUGAAACGUCGAUGGCAUAUGUUGCAGCCUCUGAGCAACAUCGACGUUGGCACGAAAGCGUGGGGAGCAAACAGAUUAGAUACCCUGGUAGUCCACGCCCUAAACGAUGUCAACUUCAGCUGUUGGGGCCUUCGGGCCUUGCAGCGCAGCUAACGCGUGAAGUUGACCGCCUGGGGAGUACGGUCGCAAGAUUAAAACUCAAAGGAAUUGACGGGGACCCGCACAAGCGGUGGAUGAUGUGGAUUAAUUGAUGCAACGCGAAAAACCUUACCUACCCUUGACAUGUCUGGAAUCCCGAAGGGAUUUGGGAGUGCUCGCAAGAGAACCGGAACACAGGUGCUGCAUGGCUGUCGUCAGCUCGUGUCGAUAUGUUGGGUUAAGUCCCGCAACGAGCGCAACCCUUGUCAUUAGUUGCUACGAAAGGGCACUCUAAUGAGACUGCCGGUGACAAACCGAGUGAAGGUGGGGAUGACGUCAAGUCCUCAUGGCCCUUAUGGGUAGGGCUUCACACGUCAUACAAUGGUCGGGACAGAGGGUCGCCAACCCGCGAGGGGGAGCCAAUCCCAGAAACCCGAUCGUAGUCCGGAUCGCAGUCUGCAACCUCGACUGCGUGAAGUCGGAAUCGCUAGUAAUCGCGGAUCAGCAUGUCGCGGUGAAUACGUUCCCGGGUCUUGUACACACCGCCCGUCACACCAUGGGAGUGGGUUUUACCAGAAGUAGUUAGCCUAACCGUAAGGAGGGCGAUUACCACGGUAGGAUUCAUGACUGGGGUGAAGUCGUAACAAGGUAA